rnacentral:rRNA from 1 species
GUUUAAGCCGCCGCGGUAAUACGAAGGGGGCUAGCGUUGUUCGGAAUCACUGGGCGUAAAGGGCGCGUAGGCGGCCUGAUAAGUCGGGGGUGAAAGCCUGUGGCUCAACCACAGAAUUGCCUUCGAUACUGUUAGGCUUGAGACCGGAAGAGGUAAGUGGAACUGCGAGUGUAGAGGUGAAAUUCGUAGAUAUUCGCAAGAACACCAGUGGCGAAGGCGGCUUACUGGUCCGGUUCUGACGCUGAGGCGCGAAAGCGUGGGGAGCAAACAGGAUUAGAAACCCCAGUAGUCC